CCUUUUUUAAUUUCUGGGGGGUUUUGUUGGAUUUUUGUUCUGUUUUGGGGCUUUGUUUUGUGUUUUGAGCAAUACUCUUAAUAAUUGGUCUGCUUUAUAUGAAUUUGAGAGAUAGUUCAGGCUGCUGUGCUUGCAUAUCUGUAGGGUUACUCUGUUUGGGAUCAUAGGUUUCUAGGAUUAGAAUUAACCUAAAACAAGAUGGAAUAAAGUCCUGCUUUAUCGCAGUCACUUAAGCUUGGUAUUAAUGCUGUUUGGGAGACACCCAAAACACGGAAUCAUAACUGUCGGGACUUUUCACAGACAUAAGGGAAAAUGAAAAGUUGGGCUGUUAUGAGGGUGGGCUGUAUAUUCAGUUAAUUUGCAACUAUAAAGAACAGUACUGUGAACAUAAUUUCUCUGGUUUUAUGUAGUGAUGGCUGUGAAGGUGAUAUACUUGGAGAGAAUAUGGCAACACUUUUAAAUCAAAUUACUGUGCCGGUUAAGUGACUAAACCUAUUAGUCUUCUAUUCUUUUUCUUUUUGUAGUCUGGUAGCAUUUUAUUAAAAACUUUGAACCUUUUAAGAUUUCUGCAACUUAGCAGAUGUGUCUUAAGAUCUUGAAAAGCACAAGGUUUCUUAUGCAGCACAUACCACUAACUGGUGAGUAGGUCUUUGUCACUUCAUUGAGUGAAUUGAAUCUGUCUGGUU
rnacentral:lncRNA from 1 species